rnacentral:lncRNA from 10 species
GCGUAUUGUUCGGCCCCGGGGGGAGCCGGCUCGGAGGUGCGCGCCGAGAGGAUCGCUAUGGAGACGCGAGGGCGCGGCCGGGACGGGGACUGGGGCCCUACUCCCCGGAGGCCUCCCCACCCAGCCUCCCGGUGGGGCGGGGCCGAGGCAACAGGGCCGGGAAAGGUGGGGCUGGGGCCCCCGGUGGCCGCUACCCGUGGGGCGGUGGCUCCGCACCUCGGGCUCGGGGCCGCGGCUCAGAGCCUGGCUCCCCACCCCGGCAGAACAGAUCCACGGAGACCGCCGCCAGGAGUGCCGCGCGGGUAGGACCCGGGGGCGGAGGACUGGGGCCGAGAGGCCGGGGAGCCCCCCCCCACCCAUUAAGGACUGCGGAGGCUGUCGAGGAGGGUUACCCAUUUUACAGCAAGACGCACGGAGGCUAAAAUGCUUCACCCCGACUAAAACUCCCUGGACUUUGAAGCCCAAUAGGCAGCUACCGGAUCUGCGUCCCACUUGGUUUAAAGCGCAACUUUUAAAUGAAAGAAGAAAACCCCGGUUGACAUAAGGGAUUUGGAGAGGACGGCGGAGGCGCGCUCAUCUCCCGCGUGCGGCCCGACCCGAGCGUUCGCGGACGCAUCGCGGAAUCCCCGAGCGUCCGGCUCCUCCCGAAGCGGGUUGCGGGGAAGGCGGGGGGCUGCGGGUCCUGGAAGCUGCCUGGGGCAAGCAAGCACCCGCAGGGAUUUAGAGCUGUGCCACAGCCCCUGCCCAGCCUCCUACGGAGGACAGCGGGGGGCGGGGGGCAGAGACCUUAGAGCUUUCAGAAAAGUGACACACACCCCCGCCUCCUGCGGGGAACCACGGGGGGCCGGGGGCAGCUUUAGGUUUGCGUGACGGGUACACCUGCCUCCGGAUGGGGCACAGGGAUAAAGGGGGUGGAGGCUUAGGACUUGGCGACCCCCCGCAUGGGCGGGGCUUUGGGACUGUGCCACCAGCGGCUGGGAAGGGCGCGCACUCCCUUGGUGGCGCUCGGGGCGCCGGAGUCCAGUGCAGCCCUUAGGCCUCCCAGUGGUCGGGGACGGUAGGUGGGGGUCGCCUCUUCUCUCCUAGAAGGGCUUCUCCUGGGGCCGGUCGGAGCGGUGGGGGUGGGAGUAAUGCGCAGUCACCCCUAGAACGGGUCUUUUUGGCAAGGGAGGGUCGGAUCCUGCAGCCAAAUCUCUGAGCUGAGCUGAGAUGAGUCCAGUCUCAACGAGGACCGUGGGCGGCUGUGGAGAACCGGAAGGGUUUCUCCCCCGGAGCGAUGUGUCUGUGUGUGUGUCACACGCAUACUCAGCCAACUUCGCUCAAAGCUGCUGAAACAGUGUCUUUGUGCUGAAGCCCAAUGUGAGCAUUUUCUUCCCAGUAGCAAGGAUUUGAACACGUUAUAUUGAUCUAAAAGGUGGAGUUGCUUUGGAACCUUUUAAUUCGAGGUUUCCACUGGAGAGUCCUGUUGGGAAAUGUGUGUGUGGAGGGAGGGGAGGAAGGAGAAAAGUCCGUCUCCUUAAUGUGAGCGGUCCAGGACCUCCCCACCCGCCAUAUACCCUUCCACUGGGAUUUUUCCGGGAAGGAUGAAAGGACAGGAGUUCUGGGGCCGGAAGGCAGGGCGGGUCCCUGAGCCCGGAGCCUCCCAGUGGAAGGCUACUGGGCGGACCUGAAGGGGACCCAGGCAGGAGGAAAAACCAGAGAACCCCAGGAGUGCCUGUUUUGCAAUAAGGCUUUAAGCAGAGUGGGUUGGGUUUAAAUAAACAAAACUCAGCUGCAGCCAGUGGGUUCAGGUGUGGGCCUGCUUUUCUGGAAUAAGGCACCUGCAGGCUGCGAGGUAACCACAGGGACUGCCCAACACCUAGGGACAGGGGAGGAUGGAUGAAUCUCACUAACAGGAUGUCCAGCAAAGACAAAAGAUCAUUCCAUUCACGCUUAGACCGACAGCAAGCCCGACUCCACCAUAACGUUUAGAGGUGUGCACAAAUAGGGGAAAGAUGAAGAAAAACAAGGAGGUGAUUAUGGGCACAUUCAGGAGGGCUCUGGGGGAGGAGGGGCAUCCCCUUCUGGACCUGAGGGUUACCAGAGUGUCGGCUUCAUGAUCACACUUUGAACUCCAAACACAUGAUUUGCGUACUUUUCCCUAUGCCUGCAUCUAGAGUCGGCAGUUUUUGUUUUUUUUUGUUUUGUUUUGUUUUGUUUUGUUUUGUUUUUUUGAGACAGAGUUUCACUGUUGUUGCCCAGGCUGGAGUGCAAUGGCACGAUCUCAGCUUACCACAACCUCCGCCUUCCAGGUUCAAGCAAUUCUGCCUCAGCCUCCCUAGUAGCUGGGAUUACAGGCGUGCGCCUCACGCCCGGCUAAUUUUGUAUUUUCAGUAGAGACGGGGUUUCUCCAUGUUGGUCAGGCUGGUCUCGAACUCCCAACCUCGUGAUCCGCCCACCUCGGCCUCCCAAAGUGCUGGGAUUACAGGCAUGAGCCACCGUGCCUGGCCUAUUUUUAUUUAUUGCUAAAUAGAGAUGGGGUCUUGCUAUGUUGCCUAGGUUGAUCUCAAACUUCUGGGCUCAAGAGAUCCUCCCACUUCAGCCUCUCAAAGUGCUAGGAUUACAGGUAUGAGCCACCACACCCUAUUUAGAGUCCACAGUUUUAUUUUAUUUUACUUUAUUUAUUUUUGAGACGGAGUUUUGCUCUCUCACCUAGGCUGGAGGACAGUGGCGCGAUCUCAGCUCAAUGCAACCUCCACCUCCUGGGUUCAAGCAAUUCUCCUGCCUCAGCCUCCAGAGUAGCUGGGAUUAUAGGCACACACCACCAGUCCUGACUAAUGUGUGUAUGUUUAGUAGAGACGGUUUCGCCAUGUUGACCAGGCUGGUCUGGAACUCCUGACCUCAGGUGAUCCACCCACCUCAGCCUCCCAAAGUGCUGGGAUUACAGGCAUGAGCCACCGCGCCGGGCCUAGAAUCCACAAUUUUAAGUAAGUGGGGAGGGGAGAGGGACUAACAAGACGGAGGCCGCAGCUUGUGCUGAGACGGCCAGGUGGUCCGGCCGCAUCAGAAAUCACGAGUUUGGAAUGACUGGCACCUUCGAGGGGUUGAGCUUUAAUUCUGCCACUAACUAGUUGUGUGACCUUCGCCAAGGCCUAACUCCUUGUUCUAACUGGACACAAUAGUCCUAGACUCCUAGCGUUGUUGAAGGAUUAACAAGACAAUCUGUGUGAAGCGGUCGGCACAGGGUCUGGCUCAGGCAUGGAUCUGCCAGUAAUAGCAUUUACUAUUUUCACAGUUGCUGUUUCCUAGCAUGAGUUCAAGGCUGCCUCCUCUCUGUCUUCAUUAUGUGAAUUGAAUGUGGUCACACAUCUGUGUUGGAGCAGAGGCAGGGGCUGCAGCUUUCAGCUGAUUUCCCAAGGGGUCUGUACUUGGACACUGAUCCAGUCCACCCAAUGUGUUUCCAGAAAGUGGAGCUGAUUCCUGGAGAGCAGAAGGGAUAUAUGUGGGGCUUUUUGUAAAGGGCAGUGACCUAUGUGGUGGGCUUGUCCACUGCCCGAGUCUGCGGCUCCCACAGGUCACUGCCCGGCUCAUAUCCUUCCCCUUUGGAAUUGGCUUGGAGCAGGGUCUCUCCUCCCCGGCCCCUAUGUGCCCACCAUCUCUGGGGUCAGUGGCCCACUCAUGACUCUCAGGGCGGGGAGGGGGCUUGGAGUUCAGUAACAGCACCCUGGGUCAUUCUUGCACCUGUCACCCUGAGAGCCACUGACCAGUUUUCUGUGCCUAGAAUCGCUGCUUGCGGCCUUUCUCAGGGGCUCAAUGGAUUGUAAUUGAUGUUUGUAUUUUGCACUUGCCCGGAGGUGUUUCACGGGAAGUGAGCAUUUUUUAAAACAAAAAUAGAAUUUAGAAAAAAAAAAGGCAGACACGAUGGAUUUCUAGUGUUGUACGUGCUGUAGAAAGCACUUGAAAAUGCGUUUUGCCAGGGGCCGCAACCAGAAGCUACAUGACUUCUGGAAUCUGUUCCUUACACAGUAAAUUCCUGGGCCAGUUGGUAAACAGCAAGGAGCCACAAGAAAUCACUCAUAGGCAAAAGCCGAGUGAGCCCAGGCCAAGCUCCACUUUGUCCACUUUGCCCUAUUUUUGGAAUUCAGGGGGAAACAUCUUGGGAGCAGGCCCAUUGCACCCCUCUGCCUCCUCUCGAUGCCUUACAGUUGGUGGGGUUUGACACAUGGAAAAUUGUGAAAGUUAGAACACGGAACAAAAAUGAAGCCUCAACAUAGAGUUAAUAGAGGCAAGGGGCUACAGAGAAUUUAGAUCCUAAUCAAGCACGUCUUAUGUACUAGCGCUUCCCUGGAAGGCCAGGAUAACUUUAUGACUACAAAGAAAACAUGUUUUCCUGCUUGGAAGUUGCCAGAACUUGUCUAAUAUAAAAGCUGGGAUUUCUUGCCCGUGGGCUGUCGCGUACGGCUACCCAGGCCGCCUCGUGAAGCCUCCUCCUGGGAGCUCGGCGCCCUCAGGUGCUCCCUGAGAUGCCAGCACCUGAACGACCUGCUCCAGGGAGGCUUUAGCCCCAAGAAGGUUCUGGAAAGCUCCAGGAAGUUUAGCCGGCACGCACAAAAGCCAGAGACAAAUCUCCAGCCUGCCUGGAAAUGCUGUGGGCUCAGGGCAAUGGGCUGAGGUCUUGUGUCCAAAACUGCUCUUGCAUCUCCCUGGGGAGCCCGGGUGGGCAGGAACAACAAGGUCCUGUGGCCAUGCCCUCGCCCCAUGCUCACCCACACUGCCUGUGCCUGCUGGGCCCAUCUCAGGGCUGCACUGGCCCCUAGUGGCCAAGCAUGGGCUCUACCCCUCUGCGCCUGCCUGGCUGCCUGUGCAGGUGCCCACCACACUGUCCCUGAGCAGAGCAGAGACCAGCCUGAGCCCCGGGCUCCGUGGCUACCAUGCUGAGAGUGAGCCCUGUGCAUGCACACACACUUACGAUGCUGCUGGCCCCGAGCAGUGGCCGGCCACACGGGCUGCUAGUCAUACUGCCCGCUGCUCCUGGGACUCCUGAGCCCCUCACUCUCUAUAGGGUGAGGAUGCCCAGCUCUGCAAGACACACAGCAAACGGAGCCUCAGAGUGCACAGCGUGGAGAUGGGGCUCCCCCCACAGGCUGCACCCCCAUCUAGUCCCGGGGAACGAGAAUGAAGGGCCUACCUGAGCACACAAGCCCCAGGAGGGCAUGGGAGCUGCAUUUGGGGGCAGUGACUGGGAGGGCUGCUGACUCCAGGCUCAGAUUAAAAGACAGACGGCAACACUGGGGUUGCAGAGCUCAGGAGCCAGUCCUGGCCCCCUGCCUCCUCCCUCAUGAGGUUCCCCUGAUCCCCAGGACAUCGGCUUCCACAUCUGCACAUCUGGGAGACAAAUGCACCAUCAGGGAGGGCAAAUCAUACCUGGGAAGGGCCUGACUCCAGCAGUUUCAGCAGUGGCUGAAAGAUCAUGGCUAUUUUUGCCAUCAUUACAAUGGAAUGUCCACUCCCUCCAGCCACCUCCACAGCAAUCAACACCGGUGUCCAGCCACUCUACAUGGACGUGUGGGGAACAGAGCACAGGCCUCUUGGCUUGGCUGUGGUCACCGGGAGGGAGCAGGGAGGGACAGCUGCCAAGAGGAUGGGGGAGGGAGCCUGCUACUCAGGAACGCUGGGGCAAGACAUGAGACAAAGGGCUGCCUUCACCCACCAGUAGGAGCCUGACCCUGAGCCCAAAGAAACUGCCCACCUGUGUGCUGACCCCAGGGCCUGAGGACAGGUCCCCAAGUGGACGUCUCAAAGAGAGUCCCACAUUCCAGGGCACAUGGGAACUAUGGCCUUCUGGCAGCUGGAGGGCAGCAGGAAGGGCACAGCUGUCUGAGACCCGUGUGGCUUCCCAGAAAGAGGUGCCACCCCUGAGGAGGCACCGGUGCUCACGGACUCCUGGUUGCCAGUCUUGCCAGGGCAAAAAGGCAAGCGAAGGAAACCCUCUCUUCGUGGGGCACUCUGCCUUGCAGUGUCAGGUGAGAUCCCGGGGGGAAAGCUGGCUUGAGCUCCUCUGGAAUGUGCAGGGAGGACUCCGUCAGGCCCGGCUCUGCCUCCAAGCUGGGCAGCAGGCGAGCCCCAGAGCUCCACCAGCCCCACUGGCAGAGGAGGGCCCUCACGAGGCAGGAGCCCAUGAUUCAUGCCCUGCUGGAAUUUGUCGAGCAUGCCGAGAUUUGCAGCUCCUCCGAGAUUGGGUCCUGCCCUGAUCAAAAGAAAAGAAGAUGGAUGAGGACACUAUAAAUAGGCCAGAGCCACCCAGCUGGCCUCGGGGAUGCAGGCGGUAUGUGUUCUGGGCUCUCACGAAGCUAAGAAACUCUAAAUCCAAGGUGACAUCGUGGCACACCGCCACCUGCUUCAGGGGGACACAGGGGACAAGGAGGAGCUAUUGGCAGAGCGCUCGGUUCCUGCAAGUUCCAACUUCUGCUAAAAUUGGUUAAUUGGUUCCUUUGCAUGAUUCAGGGCACACAGGCUUCUCUGUCCACAAAAUUUGCUCGCCUGCACACCCAGAGAAAUGGACUUGGCUUGGUUUUUCUGAACUUUUGCCUCUGCGGAAUCAGCAGUGGACGUGUGAGCUGGGGCCUCUGUCCCUGUCAUGUGAGGAGGUCAGGCAGGACAAGCAGGAAGCACUGGGCAAUGAGUCAGGAGGCCUGGUGGGGAGCUUGGGUGAGUCUGUUUUCCUCUCUGGACCUCAGUCUUCUCCUCUGGUUGAUGUAAUAAAAUCCUACAAACUGAGUCUUUUUUUUUUUUUUUGAGACAGAGUCUUACUCUCUCACCCAGGCUGGAGUGCAGUAACAUGAUCUCAGCUCACUGCAACCUUCAUCUCCCGGGUUCAAGCAAUUCUCCUGCCUCAGCCUCCUGAGUAGCUGGGAUUACAGGCAUGCACCACCAUGCCCGGCUAAUUUUUGUAUUUUUAGUAGAGACAAGGUUUCACCAUGUUGGCCAGGCUGGUCUCGAACUCCUGACCUCAGGUGAUCCACCCGCCUUGGCCUCCCAAAGUACUAGGAUUACAGGUAUGAGCCACUGCACCCAGCCACACAAACUUAGUGUUUUGUUUUGUUUUGUUUUGUUUUGAGACAGAGUCUCGCUGUGUCGCCAGCUGGAGUGCAGUGGCGCGAUCUCAGCUCACUGCAAGCUCCACCUCCUGGGUUCAUGCCAUUCUCCUGCCUCAGCCUCCCGAGUAGCUGGGACUACAGGUGCCCACCACCACGCCCGGCUAAUUUUUUUUUUCUUAGUAGAGACAGGGUUUUACCGUGUUAACCAGGAUGGUCUCGAUCUCCUGAACUUGUGAUCCGCCCGCCUCAGCCUCCCAAAGUGCUGGGAUUACAGGCGUGAGCCACCACGCCCGGCCCAAACUUAGUCUUAAAGUUAACUUAGUCUUAAACAAGAUGCUGAUUAUCUGCUGGUUGCGGAGGUCAGCGGUCUGAGAUGGCUCUCUCUACAUCUCUACAUGGGUGAACGUCACAAUGUCUGCCUUGUUGGGGUCAAGCCAGGUUCUGCUGGGAAGCCAGUGCUCGUGGUCUGCCAGAGUCCAGGACGGGGCUGUGCAGUCGGCAGGAGGAAUGCAGUGAAGUGCCACUGUGCCAGUUCCAGGCCUGAGACUUAACAAGACCCAGCAGCUUUGGCCUGUGCGUUCUCAGGAGACUGCUGCCACCUAAGAAGUCUGACCAGCCUGAUGGAGAGGGGCUACCCAGAGGACAUUGAGGGUGCAGAGAUGUGAGUGAUAAGUCAUCUUGGACAUUCUGCCACCAUCUGACGGCAACUGCAUGAGAGACCACAAGCAGAAGAACUACCCAGCUGAGCCCAGCCAACCCACAGAACCCUGAGAAAUAAUAACGAAGUGUUGUUUCAAUGGUGUGUUUGUUACGCAGCAAUAGGUAGCUGGUGCACUCUACUUACCAGCCAAGGGUUCUUGUGCAAGUCAUUUGCGUGAACUCUACUGCACUUUGCAAAUGGGGGUGAUUCUCACUAAUCUAAGCCAGGAAAGUCUACCUGCUCACCCUGGGUAUCAUGAAGAACAGCUUUAGAACAAUACUUUAGUUCCCUCUUACAAAGCCAUAAAGGUUCCAGAAAUGUGAGGUUCAGACUCAGAGAACCCAGUAAUCUAUCAUCCCAAAUACACAUCCGAGAGGGUUGUUCCCCUCUUGAAGGGUCACCGGCAGCUCCUCAUCUCUGGACCUUUCUGGGUCUGCCCUGCCCACUAGUCAGCCCCAUCUCCCAUCCCCCACUGGCCCCUUCCCCAGUUUGUACAUUUGACAACGUAUGACUUGGUGUUCUAGCUGCGGCUCAAAUGCUGCCUCCUCUGACACCUUCCCUGUCCUCUGGGCAGGCUAGGGUGCUCCUCAUCUGUUCCCACA